rnacentral:rRNA from 1 species
GAUGAACGCUGGCGGCGUGCCUAAUACAUGCAAGUCGAGCGAACAGACGAGGAGCUUGCUCCUCUGACGUUAGCGGCGGACGGGUGAGUAACACGUGGAUAACCUACCUAUAAGACUGGGAUAACUUCGGGAAACCGGAGCUAAUACCGGAUAAUAUAUUGAACCGCAUGGUUCAAUAGUGAAAGACGGUUUUGCUGUCACUUAUAGAUGGAUCCGCGCCGCAUUAGCUAGUUGGUAAGGUAACGACUUACCAAGGCAACGAUGCGUAGCCGACCUGAGAGGGUGAUCGGCCACACUGGAACUGAGACACGGUCCAGACUCCUACGGGAGGCAGCAGUAGGGAAUCUUCCGCAAUGGGCGAAAGCCUGACGGAGCAACGCCGCGUGAGUGAUGAAGGUCUUCGGAUCGUAAAACUCUGUUAUUAGGGAAGAACAAAUGUGUAAGUAACUAUGCACGUCUUGACGGUACCGAAGCAGAAAGCCACGGCUAACUACGU